UUCGGGCUUUGCAGUUUUGGAGUGGAAGGAAGGAGUAGUAAAAUGUGAAAGCAAUGAGCUUUGGGUGGAGCUGGGGAAGGAGGAAGGGAAAGCUUUUUCUUGGUUUCAGUACCGCCCAUUUAUACGCGCCGCUCCCGUCCCGUCUUGUCCUCUCUCUCUCCUCCUCCUCCCUCCUCCCCCAAUCCCUCUCUCUCCCCCAUCACCUCACAGGCACAGUUCUUCUUGUUGUCCUCAUCCACCCCAUCAUCAGCUGGAGCUGGAGCUGGAAUGUUGGUAGGCGCUUAGUCACAUCCGGACCGCCGCAAUGAUGAGCUUCAAGAACCACCACGAGGGAUUUGCGGGGCAGCAGCUGCUCGCCGCCGCCGCCGCCGCCGCGAGCCAGGCCUCCGGAGGGGCGCCGCUGCCCUGGUGGGUUGGGUCCCAGCUGCUGUACGGCGAGCCGAUGGGCCACGGGAAGGCGCCGCCGGCCGUGCCCAUGUCCAUGUCGCCGCCGGAGGAUGCCUGCCGGGACGGCCAGUUCCAGGUCGUGCCGAGGGCCCAGGCGCUGCUGGACGCCGUGCCGCUGCCGCAGCCGCCGAUGGGGGAGAGGGGCAUCCCUGAAGCUCUGAAGUUCUCCAUGGCUCAUGGUAAAGGAGGGAACAGUUCUGAGCACUCUGCCCCGAUCACUCUGCAGUCACCAUUCACAGAAUAUAAUGACCACUUUGAGCUGGGCCUUGGCCAAUCCGUGAUUUCCUCCAACUACUACUCUGAUCAGCAAUAUGGCCUACUUUCUUCUUAUGGAAUGAGAUCAGCGUCUAGCGGGCGUAUGCUUAUACCACUGAACAUGCCUGCUGAUGCGCCGAUUUAUGUGAAUGCAAAGCAAUAUGAAGGCAUCCUUCGUCGCCGUCGUGCUCGUGCCAAGGCAGAGAAGGAGAAUAGGCUGGUCAAGGCCAGAAAGCCAUAUCUUCACGAGUCACGCCAUCUUCAUGCAAUGCGCCGUGCGAGAGGCUCCGGUGGACGCUUCCUCAACACUAAGAAAGAGACCAAUGGAAAAGACACUGGUGUUGGGAGCAAGGCGAUGGUUGGUAACCCGCUUAUGCGGUCAGCUGCAUCUCUCAGUUCAGAGAUCCAGCACUCUGAGCAGGGAAACCCAAGCAGUGUCUCCAGCCUGUCUGGCUCAGAGGUGACAAGCUUGUAUGAUCACGAAGAUGUGGACCACUACCACAACUUUGAGCACCUCCGGACACACUUCUUCACCCCGCUCCCGAGCAUCAUGGACGGUGAGCAUGGGGCCGGCAACCCCUUCAAGUGGGCAGCAGCCUCCGAUGGCUGCUGCAACCUCCUCAAAGCAUGACUUGAGGGGGUGACGGACAGCCGAAAUAUCAAGAGAUGGCGCAAACCGGCAGCAUCUGCCGGCAUUGUGUCCAGCUCCAGGGCAGGGAUCGUCCCUGCCGGUCAUCUGGCUGUCCGUGGGCAAUUCAUUCUUGGCUCAUGGCAUCGGUAGUGCUUUCGCUCAUCGCCUACUUGUCCUUGAAACUUCAGUGCUAGUUUCCAGGAUCCUGUGGUGUGUGGAACACCCCCUUUGCCAUAAAAAAAUUAUUAUCUAGGUAACUACUACUGCUUGCUACCAUCAUCCCACCGUUUCGCGGUAGCAGGCUUAAGUUUCUAUUUGAAUAAAUGUCUGAAACUUCAGACUAGUUGGAAUGGUACUGGAAUCGGAGUUUGUAUGAAGUAUUGUAUCCCUUUUGUUUGGAGAAGUAUUGGAGUAUGUUAAGUAGACUUGGUGAUGUGUUGUAAUAGUUGGCUUGAAGGUUCUCUGUGUAGACUUGGUUUGGUGUUAACACCUGAAUUCAGUGAUGUAUUGAGACUUGGCAUGGUUUGUGAAAUUCUUUAUGCUGUGGUCUGUUAGGUGUUUUGCUUUUUCUGGAAAGGUAAAUUCCAUUUGCCUCACACCUGGAACUGCCAAUUUGCAAGAAGGCAUUGAUGUUUACUUGAUCGGAAACUCGAGGAAAGUGAAUUUGUUUUUGCUAGUUCUUUGUGAUAUAUACGGGAGUAAAUAGUAAUCCUGCAGAAAAAUGAAUAAUAA
rnacentral:rRNA from 1 species